AUGGGCCCGGUGAAGGAGGGCGCCGACAUGGAAGAGGGAACCCUGGAGAUCGGCAUAGAGUACAGGACAGUUUCUGGUGUGGCAGGACCUCUGGUUAUCUUGGACAAAGUAAAGGGCCCAAAAUACCAGGAGAUUGUAAACAUCCGAUUGGGAGAUGGCACCACCCGGCGUGGUCAAGUUCUGGAAGUUGAUGGUGAAAAGGCUGUCGUGCAGGUCUUUGAAGGCACUUCAGGAAUAGACAACAAAUACACAACUGUUCAGUUCACAGGCGAGGUCCUGAAAACUCCUGUAUCGCUUGAUAUGCUUGGUCGUAUUUUUAACGGCUCUGGAAAACCUAUUGAUAAUGGCCCCCCGAUAUUGCCUGAGGCCUACUUGGAUAUCUCCGGAAGUUCUAUUAACCCAAGUGAGAGAACCUACCCAGAGGAGAUGAUUCAAACAGGGAUAUCUACAAUUGAUGUCAUGAACUCCAUUGCUCGAGGGCAAAAGAUUCCUCUCUUUUCUGCUGCUGGUCUUCCUCAUAAUGAAAUCGCUGCUCAGAUUUGUCGUCAGGCUGGUCUUGUCAAGAGGCUGGAGAAAGGAAAGCAUGCAGAGGGUGGUGGUGAAGAUGACAAUUUUGCUAUUGUGUUUGCUGCUAUGGGAGUGAACAUGGAGACAGCCCAAUUCUUCAAACGUGAUUUUGAAGAGAAUGGUUCAAUGGAGAGGGUCACCCUUUUCCUGAACUUGGCAAAUGACCCCACGAUCGAACGCAUCAUCACCCCUCGUAUUGCGCUAACAACAGCAGAAUAUUUGGCAUAUGAAUGUGGGAAGCACGUUCUGGUCAUCUUGACAGAUAUGAGUUCAUAUGCAGAUGCACUUCGUGAGGUAUCAGCAGCCCGAGAAGAGGUGCCAGGUAGGCGUGGUUAUCCUGGAUAUAUGUAUACUGAUCUGGCAACCAUUUAUGAGCGUGCUGGGCGUAUUGAGGGAAGAACAGGCUCCAUUACCCAAAUACCCAUUCUAACUAUGCCUAAUGAUGAUAUCACACAUCCAACUCCUGAUCUCACGGGGUACAUUACUGAAGGACAGAUAUACAUUGACAGACAGCUCCAUAACAGACAGAUAUACCCACCCAUCAAUGUCCUUCCAUCUCUCUCUCGGUUGAUGAAGAGUGCUAUUGGUGAGGGUAUGACCCGUCGUGACCAUUCAGAUGUGUCUAACCAGCUUUAUGCCAACUAUGCUAUUGGAAAGGAUGUCCAGGCCAUGAAAGCAGUCGUGGGAGAGGAGGCUCUCUCUUCUGAAGAUCUGCUUUAUCUAGAAUUCCUUGACAAAUUUGAGAGGAAAUUUGUAGCACAGGGAGCAUACGAUACUCGGAACAUCUUCCAGUCACUUGACCUAGCAUGGACAUUGCUCCGCAUCUUCCCUCGCGAGCUUCUCCAUCGUAUCCCCGCGAAGACCUUGGAUGCGUUCUACAGCAGAGAUGCUGCCCACUGA
rnacentral:rRNA from 1 species